AUUCCUGGUGUUAUGAAGUUGAAUACACCAGUUCCCAAAGAAUCACUAAAGUUAAGCAACGUUCCGCGUGGUUAACAUGAGUAUAGGUGACCAUCUGAGCCAUCGUGUGCUGCUGGUU
rnacentral:rRNA from 1 species